GACGAACGCUGGCGGCGUGCCUAAUACAUGCAAGUUGAGCGCUGAAGGUUGGUACUUGUACCAACUGGAUGAGCAGCGAACGGGUGAGUAACGCGUGGGGAAUCUGCCUUUGAGCGGGGGACAACAUUUGGAAACGAAUGCUAAUACCGCAUAAAAACUUUAAACACAAGUUUUAAGUUUGAAAGAUGCAAUUGCAUCACUCAAAGAUGAUCCCGCGUUGUAUUAGCUAGUUAGUGAGGUAAAGGCUCACCAAGGCGAUGAUACAUAGCCGACCUGAGAGGGUGAUCGGCCACAUUGGGACUGAGACACGGCCCAAACUCCUACGGGAGGCAGCAGUAGGGAAUCUUCGGCAAUGGACGAAAGUCUGACCGAGCAACGCCGCGUGUGUGAAGAAGGUUUUCGGAUCGUAAAACUCUGUUGGUAGAGAAGAACGUUGGUGAGAGUGGAAAGCUCAUCAAGUGACGGUAACUACCCAGAAAGGGACGGCUAACUACGUG
rnacentral:rRNA from 1 species